rnacentral:rRNA from 2 species
CAGCAGUAGGGAAUCUUCCACAAUGGACGAAAGUCUGAUGGAGCAACGCCGCGUGAGUGAAGAAGGUUUUCGGAUCGUAAAACUCUGUUGUAAGGGAAGAACAAGUACAGUAGUAACUGGCUGUACCUUGACGGUACCUUAUUAGAAAGCCACGGCUAACUACGUGCCAGCAGCCGCGGUAAUACGUAGGUGGCAAGCGUUGUCCGGAAUUAUUGGGCGUAAAGCGCGCGCAGGCGGUCCUUUAAGUCUGAUGUGAAAGCCCACGGCUCAACCGUGGAGGGUCAUUGGAAACUGGAGGACUUGAGUGCAGAAGAGGAAAGUGGAAUUCCAAGUGUAGCGGUGAAAUGCGUAGAGAUUUGGAGGAACACCAGUGGCGAAGGCGACUUUCUGGUCUGUAACUGACGCUGAGGCGCGAAAGCGUGGGGAGCAAACAGGAUUAGAUACCCUGGUAGUCCACGCCGUAAACGAUGAGUGCUAAGUGUUAGGGGGUUUCCGCCCCUUAGUGCUGCAGCUAACGCAUUAAGCACUCCGCCUGGGGAGUACGGUCGCAAGACUGAAACUCAAG